AGAGUGGAAAAAUGAUAGCAGACGAAAUAAUAUCAGCAAUGGAGGCAUUUCAUGCCAUCGAUUUCCCAAAGAGGCUAAUUUAAAAGAGAAAUGGAUAAAUGCAACGUGACGAGUUAACUGGUUGCCGAACAGCACUAAGAAAUCUAACAAAGGCCGCCGAUACAUCAAACCUACGGCAGUUCCAAGAUUUAAAAUAAUGCAUAUUUUCUGUUUGUAUUUUGUAAAUAUAGAUUUAUACUAUU